rnacentral:rRNA from 1 species
AUUGAACGCUGGCGGCAGGCCUAACACAUGCAAGUCGAGCGGAUGAAUGGAGCUUGCUCCUGGAUUCAGCGGCGGACGGGUGAGUAAUGCCUAGGAAUCUGCCUUGUAGUUGGGGAUAACGUCCGGAAACGGGCGCUAAUACCGCAUACGUCCUGAUGUUGAAAGUGGUGGAUCUUCGGACCUCACGCUCUCAGAUGAGCCUAGGUCGGAUUAGCUAGUUGGUGGGGUAAAGGCCUACCAAGGCGACGAUCCGUAACUGGUCUGAGAGGAUGAUCAGUCACACUGGAACUGAGACACGGUCCAGACUCCUACGGGAGGCAGCAGUGGGGAAUAUUGGACAAUGGGCGAAAGCCUGAUCCAGCAACGCCGCGUGUGUGAAGAAGGUCUUCGGAUUGUAAAGCACUUUAAGUUGGGAGGAAGGGAAGUAAGUUAAUACCUUGAUGUUUUGACGUUACCAACAGAAUAAGCACCGGCUAACUUCGUG